CGCCGUGUGCAGAGGACAAAUGAGACAGGUCUUGUCCACCUCCAUGGGAUUUUAUUCCAGUUAAAAAGGUGGUUCUACAGCUGCCGACCUAACAACAUUGACUAUCACAAGGAAUAUUCUUUUCCAAAAUACAGACACUAUCCAGUUCUCCACAAGAAACAUUCAGGGGCCCUA